UAGCUCAGCGGCAUAAGCGCCUGCCUUGCAAGCAGGCAGUCGUGAGUUCGAUCCCCAC
rnacentral:tRNA from 1 species